rnacentral:lncRNA from 1 species
GGUCCCACUGGGUCGGGAAGCGGCACCCGUCCCCCUAAAGUGGAGCGUCCGCCAUGGUGAGGCCCGGGAUGGGGUGUUCGGGAAGGGAGGUCAAAUCGGAGUCCAGCAGCGGGCUCUGGUCCUGAUGCCGUGAGCCCCCCGGGUUCCUCACAGGAAGCAGAGUCUGUAGCGUGGCGCCCGGUCGGUCGUUGGUGCCCGGGCAGUGACGACCGCGGACCGGGGAAUCGAGGCUCGGUUGGCGGAAAGCUCCCGGCCAAUCCCGGCCUGUGCGUUCCCUGCCUCGGCGUGCGCGGUCCGCUGUGGGCAGUGGGAGGAGACGGUCGUUGACUGGGCCGGCUCCUGAGUGGCAGGACUCGGCGAUAUUGGUGUUGUGUCGCUUGGCUUUUAACCGCGUUUGACAGUUGGCUCAUCCAAGGAAGUGGUAGACCUGAGACUUGCUAGAAUUGAAACCAGAAAGGCUGAGCGUUUUGGCACCAUUGGCACCUGAAAGUUGCCCGCAGGUUCUUGAGAUUUGCCCCUAAGUGAUUGGAAGGUUAGGGAAGCCUAUUUAUCUGUUUGUUUGAGACUAAGUACCACUAUGUAUAUAGAUAGUGUGGCUCGCCCGGAACGCCCUAUGUGCUCAAGCUGGCUUUAAACUCACUGAGAUCCUUUUGUCUCUGCCUCUGGCUCCCAAGGGCUGGCAGUAAAGGUGUGCGCCAUCUCACCCAGCUGGGAGCAUCUUCCUUGACCAUGGGAAAGUAGGUAGUAGUUAACCGCUCACAAUGCGUUGUCUGGAGCUGAAGCUUUAUGUAGAUUGUCAUUUAAGCCUUCUCAAUCGUCCCCAUUUUAAUUUAAGGGAUUUGAAGCUCAGAGAAUUUGACUUUUCCAAGCUCAUCUUUCCCACAAGAGUCAGUUUGGCCCCAGCUUUGUUCGUGUUCUGUUCUGAGACUAAACAUUUGCCACUAUAUUAUUCCUUGUAAUUAGGUCGCUGCCAUUUAGUAAGAACCUUUGUUGGUUCCUCGUGGAACUCGGUCUUUAGCGUGCAUUCUCCACAUUCCACCUUGAACUUACCUCAGCUGCUCGUGUAAGGCUUAUACUUGUAAACCCAGCACUUGAAAGGCUGGGCCAGGAAGAUCAGGAAUUUGUGAGUUCCAGGGCAACUUUAGUACAUAGGGCUGAGAGUAUAGCUCAGUGUUGCAGUGCUUGCCCACCACAGGUAAAAGGCCUUAAAUCCAUCCCCAGAUGGAUUUCUCAUCCAAAAGAGGAUGAGAAAGUACUGUUGGAAGGUGAGGUAAGAGGAGCCUAGAAGAUUACCCCUGGGAGUCCGAUUAUGUCUAAUUUUGUCAGGUCCUUAGGAAUGGCCCAGGUUUGGGUUGGGGUACUGUCAUGCUUUAUAACUCAAACCCUCCUGCCUCCGCUUCCCAAGGACACUACUACCACCAUGCCUUGGCAGUGUUGAGUCUCUGACAGUGUCUAGAUAGGAAGGAGGUCAGUGCAGUGCAUCAGAGGUGGGGCACUGUGCAAGAACUGGGCCCCCGCCAGAGCCUUUCCUCAGCAUUGGAGGCAUACAGAAAUCCUGCCUGGGGAGUGGACUGUAUGAGACUGUAGCUUUGACCAAACAGAGCUAAGAGUGACUUGAUUAAAGUGUUGAUUCA